AUGGCUGUUACGGCACACUACAUAGAUGAUUCUUGGAACCUGAAGAGCUUUCUUAUAAGGUUUGCUUAUGUGCCAUGCCCACAUACAGCUGAGGUCAUAUGUGAAGCCUUGUAUGAGUGUCUUGUUGAGUGGCACCUAGAGAGGAAGAUUUCCAUUGUCACAUUGGACAACUGCACAUCUAAUGAGAAAGCUAUGACCAUAUUGCCAGAUAAGUUGGAUACUAGCUCUCUUAUGUUAGAUGGCCAGUUUCUUCAUAUGCGUUGUGCUGCUCACAUAUUAAACCUGAUUGUGAAAGAUGGAAUGAGUGUCUUAGAGGAAGGUGUAGAGAGAGUACGUGAUAGUGUUGCAUUUUGGUCGGCAACACCUAAAAGGCAUGAAAAGUUUGAAAAGAUGGCAAAAACAUUGAACAUAGAGUAUAACAGAAGGUUAAAUCUUGACUGUAAGACUAGAUGGAAUUCAACUUACCUUAUGAUAAGCAUUGCUCUACAAUACAUAGAGAUAUUUGAAAAAUUGAAGGCACGUGAAAAGAAAUUUGAUUGCUGCCCAACCAAAGAUGAUUGGAAGUUUGCAAAGGAAAUGUGUGAUAGGUUGAAGCUCUUCUUUGAUAUCACUGAGUCAUUUUCAGGAACUAAGUAUGUAACAGCAAAUCUCUUUUUCCCUAAAGUAGUUACCAUCCGUUUGGCCAUAAAGAAAUGGGGUAAAAGUGAAAAUGAGCUUAUACAAAAAAUGUCAGAGGAAAUGAAGGAUAAAUUUGAGAAGUAUUGGAAAGAUAUACAUGGUCUUAUGGCAGUUGCAAUAGUCCUUGAUCCAAGGUACAAACUUCAUAUUCUCAAUGCUCUAUAUGGUCCUCUGUACGGAAGACAUCAUGCAGCCAAAGAAAUAGAGAAAGUGAGGGGGUUAAUGUUUGACUUGGUAAAGCAAUACCAAGAUAAAGCAGAAUGUGAGGAUACAUGGGAUGCUUCUGCUACUUCAAUCCCAUCUGGAGAAGAGGAUGAAGCCAUGAAACUCUUGGAUCUUUAUAUGUCCAAUCGUGUCGUUACACCUUCUUCUUCUUCUUUGUCCCAUACAGAAUUGGAAUUGUAUUUGGAAGAAGCUCCUCUGCCUAGAACACAAGACCUGUACAUCAUUGAUUGGUGGAAGGUUGGGGGCGUCAAGUAUCCUACCUUACAAAAACUUGCUCGUGAUAUAUUGCCUAUUCCUAUAACAUCCGUUGCUUCAGAAUGUGCAUUCAGUACUAGUGGUAGAGUUCUUAGUGCACACCGUAGUAGACUUACUCCUAAUGUGGUUGAAGCUCUCAUGUGCAUGCAAGCUUGGUCUCGUGCUGAUCUAUUAGGUGGCUGGAAUUCCACUCUCUUUGCAACAUUUCAAAGUGUUCUUGAGGACAAUGAAGAAGAGAUGGAUGAAUCUACUUCAAUUAUCACUCAAGAAUGA
rnacentral:rRNA from 1 species